rnacentral:rRNA from 1 species
GAUGAACGCUGGCGGCGUGCCUAAUACAUGCAAGUCGAGCGAACGGACGAGAAGCUUGCUUCUCUGAUGUUAGCGGCGGACGGGUGAGUAACACGUGGAUAACCUACCUAUAAGACUGGGAUAACUUCGGGAAACCGGAGCUAAUACCGGAUAAUAUUUUGAACUGCAUGGUUCAAAAGUGAAAGACGGUCUUGCUGUCACUUAUAGAUGGAUCCGCGCUGCAUUAGCUAGUUGGUAAGGUAACGGCUUACCAAGGCAACGAUGCAUAGCCGACCUGAGAGGGUGAUCGGCCACACUGGAACUGAGACACGGUCCAGACUCCUACGGGAGGCAGCAGUAGGGAAUCUUCCGCAAUGGGCGAAAGCCUGACGGAGCAACGCCGCGUGAGUGAUGAAGGUCUUCGGAUCGUAAAACUCUGUUAUUAGGGAAGAACAUAUGUGUAAGUAACUGUGCACAUCUUGACGGUACCUAAUCAGAAAGCCACGGCUAACUACGUGCCAGCAGCCGCGGUAAUACGUAGGUGGCAAGCGUUAUCCGGAAUUAUUGGGCGUAAAGCGCGCGUAGGCGGUUUUUUAAGUCUGAUGUGAAAGCCCACGGCUCAACCGUGGAGGGUCAUUGGAAACUGGAAAACUUGAGUGCAGAAGAGGAAAGUGGAAUUCCAUGUGUAGCGGUGAAAUGCGCAGAGAUAUGGAGGAACACCAGUGGCGAAGGCGACUUUCUGGUCUGUAACUGACGCUGAUGUGCGAAAGCGUGGGGAUCAAACAGGAUUAGAUACCCUGGUAGUCCACGCCGUAAACGAUGAGUGCUAAGUGUUAGGGGGUUUCCGCCCCUUAGUGCUGCAGCUAACGCAUUAAGCACUCCGCCUGGGGAGUACGACCGCAAGGUUGAAACUCAAAGGAAUUGACGGGGACCCGCACAAGCGGUGGAGCAUGUGGUUUAAUUCGAAGCAACGCGAAGAACCUUACCAAAUCUUGACAUCCUUUGACAACUCUAGAGAUAGAGCCUUCCCCUUCGGGGGACAAAGUGACAGGUGGUGCAUGGUUGUCGUCAGCUCGUGUCGUGAGAUGUUGGGUUAAGUCCCGCAACGAGCGCAACCCUUAAGCUUAGUUGCCAUCAUUAAGUUGGGCACUCUAAGUUGACUGCCGGUGACAAACCGGAGGAAGGUGGGGAUGACGUCAAAUCAUCAUGCCCCUUAUGAUUUGGGCUACACACGUGCUACAAUGGACAAUACAAAGGGCAGCGAAACCGCGAGGUCAAGCAAAUCCCAUAAAGUUGUUCUCAGUUCGGAUUGUAGUCUGCAACUCGACUACAUGAAGCUGGAAUCGCUAGUAAUCGUAGAUCAGCAUGCUACGGUGAAUACGUUCCCGGGUCU